UAAGUGAGGAAGGGGAGAGAGUACAUUCCAGGCAUAAGGGACAGAAUGAACAAAGGUUGGGGGGGAGAUCACAAAACAUACUCAGGAGGCAGAAACUAGAAAAGUAUGAGUAUAGUGUCUAUGUGUGGAGAAUAAUAAAAGAUGACUGGUGAGAUAGGAAUUCUAGAUUUAGAGGUCUUCAAAUGUCAAAGGUCAGAAGAGCGACAUGAAAGAACUGGAUUUGUAAUUAGAGGAUCUGGGUUCAAACUGUGGCUCUUUCACUUAAAUUUGCUAUGCACUAGUCACUUCAUAUCUAGGCCUUAAUUUCUCCAUCUAGGAGAUGAACACCAGGUUGAACUAGAUAUUCUGUAAGGACCCUUUAAUUUUAAAUUCCAUAAUCCUAUGCAUAAGAAAGAUUAUUCUAGGAGCUAUAUGAGACUAUAUCUGAGCAGUGAGACAAUAUAGUUAUGGUGACCAUCUUUUUAGAACCACAAAUUAUAACGCAUGCGUGGUCUGGCAAAGCAAAUUCAUUUUUGCAAAGUUUCAUUAAAAUCACAUUUUCUUAUCUCAAAAGUUGGAAGUGUCCCAGAAAAUCUAAGGUGUAUAGUUGCUUUAGAUGUGACUGAUCCCUAUGAAUCAUGGUGGUAGAAGGAGCAGAGAAUUUAUUCACCAAAUCCUAAAACAUGAAAAUUAGGGGAUACUCCUUGAAACUCAAAAUAGAUUUUAGGGCAAGGAAAGGUCAUCCUUUACACAGCAGAACUCUGCCCCAUCAAGUAUUAAUAGACUCAAAACAGAAAUAGUAAACAAGCAUUCUUUGACAGGCAUUCCAAGAUCAGAACUGACUACAAAUGCAAUUUUUUUCAGUUUAGCACACAGUAUGAUGGUUUCAGAUUCCUUCAUUAUCAUCAGCUUUAAGCUAUACCUAGUGAGCCUCUAGCACAAGGUUUAUGUGUCUGAAUUAAAAUGGAAGAUGCCACAUUUAGAAAAGGAAAUGGUGGUCACCAAAAGCCAGCACAGACAAAUCAUCCAGAAUGGGCCAUGCCAAACUAACUCUUUGUCAGAGUUAUGUUAUAAAUAUAGUUUUUCUGCAUUUUGACAAGUGAUUUGACAGUUUCUGGAUGACCACUUUCUGGGUAUGUUGUAGAGGGGAUUUCUAGGUGCAAGCUGGACUAAAUGACUUCUGGGAUCCCUUCUACUUCUGUUAUUGAUUUCUGCCUAUCAAAACCCUACUCCUUCAAGGCCCAGCCCAAAUGCCACCUUUUUCUCUAAGCCUUCUCUUACUGUGGAUAGACUUUCAAGUACUGCAUAAACAGCUCUCUUUGCCCCUGUGGGAAGUAACCUUUCCCUUUUGCUGCCACAGUCCUCUGAAUCUCUGUUACAGCACUUAUCACAUGCUGGUCAGUAUUCUAUUCAUGUGUGUAACUUUGGGUUUUGUUUUCUUUCAUUGGCACAGGAAAACUUCCUCCAUCAGUGUGGACCAGCCCCUGCUUGGAGUCUUUGAGAGUUGCCCUGAGUGGGGGGAUAUUGGGAGGAUAAGAGAUUGCACAAGGUCACACAAACUGUGUCAGAGGUAUCUGGCUGGUCCUCUAGCUCCAAACCUAGUGACUCCUAGUUACCAGAGGUGCCACAUUCAGGGCCUGGAAGAAUGGAGAAGAAAUUGAGGAGAGGCAUGGAUUCCAAUUACAACAGAAGGCAAAAAUAGCAAGACUUGGGUCUCAGGCUGCCCAAGAUGUCCUAGCCACCUUAAGAUAUCCGAAAUUGAUCCCAGACUGUCCUCAUCCUCGAAUGAGCUGUCUCCUCAUCGCCCCCUUUUAGAAUCUGCAGCACCCUUCAAAGCCUAGCUCAAGCACCACAGCUAGGUAAAGCCUUUCUGAUUUCCCCUGGCGGCUAGUGCUGCUCCUCCUCAAAAUACCUUGUACUAUAGUCUGUGCUUUCCUGUGGGUAGACACGAUUUCCGAACUUGAUAGAAUGAAAGUUCCUGACAGCAGCAACUGUUUCAUGUUUUGUCUCUAGAUCCCCAAUACCUGGCAUAGAAUAAGCUUCGAAUAAACACUUGGUGAUUGAUUCCUUAGCUGUGGAUGACUGAGAAAAGCAUACAACCCACUCACUUCUGCCUUUUCUAUAAAAAUAUCAUUUUUAUUACAUAAUAACAUUUCAAGUACUAUCUAAUUUCAACUUAUACUAUGGCAUACAAAUCAGAGCAAAAUUCAAAUCAGUGUCACAACCAGAUGUGAGUUAUGAAAGGACUCUUGUCACUAGACUUCAGUUUUUAUAGUUUGAUAAAAAAAAAAAAGUCAGAUGUUGACAGUUUACCUAACAAGCCUAUAUGACCUGGUUCAGAGGAAGACUGAUUCAUUCAGAUGUUGUUCUGCCAAGGCCACACUUUCUGUCUGGAGCUGUGAGUGCCCCUGUACUGCCACAGGCUCCAAAGUGGAGGCUGAUCAUUCUGGGAUGGUCUUUCCCUAUUCCUUGGCCAAUCCUCUGAAGCUUCUUUGCCAGAACGGUUUAAAGGGGCAAAACUUCUUCCCUCACCUCCUUAUCACCUUAAAACUGAUAAAAGCCAAAAGUAGUUAUUAAACUGGAAUUACAGAGAUUUUUUUUUUCCUCCAAGAAAGAAGCCAGAACACUCUGACAUGAGUUCAUUAGUCUGGUUCUUUGUGUAAGCCACCUGAGAAGAGGACCCUUUCUACCACAAUCACCUCAGAACUACAUGUGUGCAGAUAUAUACUGAAGUCAAAGUUCCAUCUGGCAAGUAUUCUAACUUGAACUCUGGGACUGGAUGAUCUCUUGACUCUUCCCUCAACAAAAUUCUACCACCUCAGACUUACUUCUUCUGCAAUAUAGUAUAUUCUCCCUCCUUUUCUUGACCUGUCACUUUGAGUAACUUCCAGUGUGUAAAAUUCUUCUGUAGAUGCAAACCAGCCACUCAUCUGUAAAUUAUUGUCUUAAAAAAUUACCCAGUCACAUAGUUUGUGCCUGAAGAACCUGAACUCAGAUCUUCUUGACUCCAAGGGUAGGUCUUUAGCUGCAUCAGGCAAAUUCUUUAACAUUGUACUUUUAAGAGUUAUACACUAUCUCAUUUGAUAAUCCCAAGAACCCUGUGAGGUAAGUACUACAGGUAUUUUCUCCACUUUACAGAUGAAGACAGGUAACAUUAGGGGCAUGAACACUGUAACCAGAAAUGGCAUGAUUCUACACAAGUCGCAACCUCUCAGAACUCAUACCAAAUCCUCAGGAUCUACUUGUCAUAGAUUUGAUACCUCUUACGGUGGAGGAUUCCCCCAUAUCAGCAGGUCCUCAGAAGUCACAGAUCUUACGUUUACGGAUGAAGCACCUGAAGGUAAGAGAGGUUUAAAGUGACUUACUUACGAUCACACAGCUGGUAUCAAAGUUGGCCUCUGAAACUAGGUCUCUCCUCUCUAUUUCUCUAGUGCUGUUACCACUCUACCAUGCUCCAUUCUAAACACUCAUCUUUACCCAAAACUCUACUAGGCUUUCCCAAGGACAACACAGCCCUCUUCAUAAUGUCAUCCAUCCCAUCCCUCUGCAGUGGUGGGGUGGUCUACAAGUGUAUAUUGUACAUUAUUUUUAGACUUUCAAUAUACUGUUGUUAUGUUGAUUUUCCUUCCUACUCUUUGUUUUAAAAAUACUCUUUUAUAUGAGAUAGCCGUCUGAGGAGGAAGGAUACUGGGAGAAAUUAUGGUGGUGUAAAAAAAAAAACAAUAAAAAACUUAAAAAAAUAACGUCAUCUAUUAAUCAACUGUCUGUUUUCACCAUUAUUUUGGUCUCCGGUAGGUUGUACACUCCCUGAGGGUAGAAAAUGUUUCUUUGUACUCUUGGGCAUAAGUGCCUUUCACAUAGCAGAUGUGUAGUAAUUUAAAAACAAACAGAUCCACUUUCCCGUUUUCUAGGGCUAUAAUGAUUUUAUUUGACCCAAGAUAAAGAAUUCCUUACUCCCUUGACUGUCAUUUUAGAGUCCUCCCCACGUACUCCCCACAACCUUCCAGAAUCCAAAUACCAAUUAUUGCUAGGAGGCAAAACUAAAUAAAUUUCAUCCAUUAACUAUUCAGAGUAGAGACAGGGUGGUGUAAUUGAUAAAGAGACGAUGACCUUUUGUUCGGGAAGGUCUGGGUUUCAGUCUUGCUUCUGUUACUAUAGCUGUGUGACCAUGGGCAAAUCACUCAGUCUUUCAACAGCCCCAGACCACUGUCAUUUACAGAGGAGUUACCAACUACAUCAGUGAAGAAAGCUUCUGUACUAGGAAGUCCCUAGAGCUCUGGACCAAAAAAAUAAAUCCAUGGUAUCUCACCUUGAGUCCUAUCUAUUCUGAGUCCCCAGUUCCUUUAGUCUUGGACUCUUAACACCCAGUCACCUUUCUCAUUUCAGACCUUUUCCUUGUCUCUAAAGGAACCUAACCACCUUCUCUCCCCACUCUACGUUCUUGACUACUCAGCGGAGGAUGAGGUCAUUUAAACUUAGUUUCUUCAAUUUUCCUUCCCUUACACUUCAAAAUGUGUGUAUAUCUUAUCCACAGAUCAAACCAUUCCACCACUCAAAAUCUUUGUUGGCUCCUUCUCUGCCCACCAAAUGAAGUCUAAACUCUUCAUCUUGGCAUUAGAGGUCCUCCAGUUUGUCUCCAACUGGGCUUUGCAGACUUAUCUUACCUCUUUCUUUUCAAUUAUGCUCCAACAAAAAUGAGCAUUGCCUGGUUUCACACACUCACUUAAUUUAUGAUUCCGAAAUCUGUGCAUUUGUUCAGUCACCUAGGCCUGGCUCGCCUUGCAUCUCCGCCUACUGAAAUCCUGCCUCCCUUUGACUCAAAUGCUGCCCCUUCCCUGCAGUCUUCCUUGUUUCAUCCCAGUUGGAAAUUUCCUUCUUUGAAUGUUGCAUAGCAGUUUGCACCCCUUAUUGGCACUCAUGUUUUAUUAUAGUCAUUAGUGUCUUAGGUCCCUUACUAGCAUAUGAGCUUCUUGGGAUCAAUUUAGCUUUUUUGCUUCCUCAGUGUUUAUACAUGGUGCUAAAGGUUUCUUGAAUGAAUAAGGCCCAGAAGUUUGGAAGGAAUUUCCCUGCCACCUGCCUUCACCUUUACUGAUAUCAUUCCCUAGAUAGUUUGAAAUGUGCCACUAACAGUCACACCUGACAAGACUAAAAAGUUAUGGGACUAGUUCAGACUGGAACAGGGCUUCGGGAAUGGUAAUGAAUGUUAAUGAACUUCCCCUGAUCCCUCCCUUCGCACUGCAAUGUAUUUUCAACUCAUGAAAAUUUUAAGAUUCUGUUAAUUUGCACACUAACAUUGCUUGGCUAAAUGUCCUUUAGGCUCUUACUUGUAUUGUCUUUUCUCAUCUGGUUUUUGGGCUCAAAGGCAUGGACUGAGUUUCUUUCAUAGAUCUCCCACAGCACUUAAUAUAGGAUUUCCUAUAUUUACUUGACUUCUCUUAGGGUAGAUAGCACUGUAACUUCUCAGUCUGGCAUUAGAGGACAUUCACUCAUAACUGUGUCCUCAGUAAGUCUUUCCACCUAUAACACCAACUAUUUUCCUUGACUACCCAAUACUGGAGCCAUCCUGACAACUAUAUUUUUCAAACACUGAUAUUUUACCAUUUCUCACUUCUAUAGCUUUGCUGACCAAAUCUGUCACAGAUAGGAGGUACUCAUGCUUGCUAUCUUAGGGGGCUGUUUUGAAGAUAAGAAUAGCUAAUGUCUACACAGUACUUUAAGGUUUCAAAGUGUUUAAUAAAGAUCUCAUUUGAGCCUUGCAAACUCUUGGAGGUAGGUGCUACUA